GUGGGGAAUAUUGGACAAUGGGGGCAACCCUGAUCCAGCAAUGCCGCGUGUGUGAAGAAGGUCUUCGGAUCGUAAAGCACUUUCGACGGGGACGAUGAUGACGGUACCCGUAGAAGAAGCCCCGGCUAACUUCGUGCCAGCAGCCGCGGUAAUACGAAGGGGGCUAGCGUUGCUCGGAAUUACUGGGCGUAAAGGGCGCGUAGGCGGCUCUGUAAGUCAGGCGUGAAAUUCCUGGGCUUAACCUGGGGACUGCGCUUGAUACUGCGGGGCUUGAAGCGGAGAGAGGGUGGUGGAAUUCCCAGUGUAGAGGUGAAAUUCGUAGAUAUUGGGAAGAACACCGGUGGCGAAGGCGACCACCUGGCUCGGUACUGACUCUGAGGCGCGACAGCGUGGGGAGCAAACAGGAUUAGAAACCCGUGUAGUCC
rnacentral:rRNA from 1 species